rnacentral:rRNA from 1 species
GACGAACGCUGGCGGCGUGCUUAACACAUGCAAGUCGAACGGAAAGGCCCUGCUUUUGUGGGGUGCUCGAGUGGCGAACGGGUGAGUAACACGUGAGUAACCUGCCCUUGACUUUGGGAUAACUUCAGGAAACUGGGGCUAAUACCGGAUAGGAGCUCCUGCUGCAUGGUGGGGGUUGGAAAGUUUCGGCGGUUGGGGAUGGACUCGCGGCUUAUCAGCUUGUUGGUGGGGUAGUGGCUUACCAAGGCUUUGACGGGUAGCCGGCCUGAGAGGGUGACCGGCCACAUUGGGACUGAGAUCCCGCCCAGCCUCCUACGGGAGGCAGCAGUGGGGAAUAUUGCACGAUGGGCGGACGCCUGAUGCAGCAUCGCCGCGUGCGGGAUGACGGCCUUCGGGUUGUAACCCGCUUUCGCCUGUGACGAAGCGUGAGUGACGGUAAUGGGUAAAGAAGCACCGGCUACCUACGUG